UAAUACGGAGGGAGCUAGCGUUGUUCGGAAUUACUGGGCGUAAAGCGUACGUAGGCGGCUUUGUAAGUAAGAGGUGAAAGCCUGGAGCUCAACUCCAGAACUGCCUUUUAGACUGCAUCGCUUGAAUCCUGGAGAGGUGAGUGGAAUUCCGAGUGUAGAGGUGAAAUUCGUAGAUAUUCGGAAGAACACCAGUGGCGAAGGCGGCUCACUGGACAGGUAUUGACGCUGAGGUACGAAAGCGUGGGGAGCAAACAGG
rnacentral:rRNA from 1 species